GUUUGAUUACUGACGUGACUUACACUAACUCACCGCUUUUAUUGAGUUCUGUCUUAUUUCUCUUCUUUUUCAGAAUAUUCCCUAUGUUUGCGUUUGUUUCACUCAGGUUGGCAGUUCUUUUUCAAGUUGGAGAAAGUGCAGUUUUAAUUUUACUUGCAACAAAUGUAAUAGAUUAAUAGAGAGAAUAGAGCUCUUUAGACUUGUCUUCCUAUCCAAAUGCCAAGGACCAAAGAGAUCUUUCUUCCAGGUUAAAGUUUGGAAAGAGUCUCAGUCCAUUAGGGAAAUGAGGUAGAGGCGGCCUGGAGUGACACCUCCACGUCAGGAAGCCAAGGUGAGUAGCUACGGCAGCUUCCCUUGAAAUUCAUAUGCACCGUGAUCUGAUCUCCAGGGCUCACUGCUCAUGGGUGAGGC
rnacentral:lncRNA from 1 species